GUUACAAUUCACUCGUUUACUGCGUAUCACCUGAAUAGUCGUAAAAAGUUAAAAAAAUUAAAAGUGGCAGAUUAAUAGUGGAAUGAAACAUAUCAGUCUAUAAAUAUGCAACUUCAAAUUCAACUUUUACGAGCUAUAAAAAACAUAAAUUAAACUGAAAUAAGCAUGCUCAUUUACCGUUAAAUUUAGAUAACUUACCAGAAAAAUAGAUAUCUAACUAAAUGAUAAAAAUAUUUUUUUCAUCUUUGUUUAUAUCUCUGAUAUCUCUAAACUGACAAACUGUAUUUGGUUUGGAACUAAACAUUGGUUGGGUUGGUUUUCCAUGGAGAGGAUUUGGUUGUUUCAUUCACUUACUUUGAGGCUGAUGGCAAAAUGGUUGGAAAAGAGAGAGAGAGAGAGAGAGUACUGUUCCUGUCUUGUGUUCACCUUUCCUUUUCUUUUUCUGCUCUGUUCUUCUCUUGGGGUUUUUAUGAUUUUUUUUUUUUUUUGGGUUUCAGAGGCCGCUCGUGUGGCUUUGGGGAGUCCAACCCCAACCACUAUCAGGGGUGGAACUCUGUCCCUCCCAGCCUUGACAAACCCACCAGAACUCCCUUGUCCCUAUGUGCACCCCAGCACUCCACAUUUUUUUCCCUUUCCUCCCUCGCUACUGUGACCACGCUAGAACAUGGAGUUCUACUAUCUAUCUACACUAUCAUCAUUCCAACCCCCAUCCAAUCCAUACUCAUGUUGUUUGGUAUCUCUAUGUGGAGAUGAAUCUAGUUUGAAGGUUAGUGGAGAUUUAUAUGGUAAGAUUAGUGUAAGGGUGGGGACCGCGGAUAUGAUGCUCUCCGGUUCGCUGGUAACCAGUGGCGUGAAAAAAUGGUGUGGGUUUGUGUUUUGGGAGGAGCGGGCAGCGAGUUGGUUGAAUAGGUUAUACUUGGAAAGAUUCAAAAUGUAUAUGUGUGUGUUUCUUAAUUUUUUUUUUCUCUUCAGAUAAGUGAAACGGUACAUUUGAUGCCAACUUUGUGUUAGAUCUAUACAAGGAGAAGGAG
rnacentral:lncRNA from 1 species